GAUGAACGCUGGCGGCGUGCCUAAUACAUGCAAGUCGAGCGAACGAACGAGAAGCUUGCUUCUCUGAUGUUAGCGGCGGACGGGUGAGUAACACGUGGAUAACCUACCUAUAAGACUGGGAUAACUUCGGGAAACCGGAGCUAAUACCGGAUAAUAUUUUGAACCGCAUGGUUCAAAAGUGAAAGACGGUCUUGCUGUCACUUAUAGAUGGAUCCGCGCUGCAUUAGCUAGUUGGUAAGGUAACGGCUUACCAAGGCAACGAUGCAUAGCCGACCUGAGAGGGUGAUCGGCCACACUGGAACUGAGACACGGUCCAGACUCCUACGGGAGGCAGCAGUAGGGAAUCUUCCGCAAUGGGCGAAAGCCUGACGGAGCAACGCCGCGUGAGUGAUGAAGGUCUUCGGAUCGUAAAACUCUGUUAUUAGGGAAGAACAUAUGUGUAAGUAACUGCGCACAUCUUGACGGUACCUAAUCAGAAAGCCACGGCUAACUACGUG
rnacentral:rRNA from 1 species